rnacentral:rRNA from 1 species
GAUAAACGCUAGCGGCAGGCUUAACACAUGCAAGUCGAGGGGCAGCAUAGAUUGUAGCAAUACAAUUGGUGGCGACCGGCGCACGGGUGCGUAACGCGUAUGCAACCUACCCGUCACAGGGGGAUAAUCCGGAGAAAUCUGGUCUAAUACCCCCUAACAUAUGGAUCGGCAUCGGUUCAUGUUGAAAUUUUCGGAGUUGACGGAUGGGCAUGCGUAGCAUUAGCUUGUUUGUGAGGGAACGGCUCACAAAGGCGACGAUGCUUAGGGGGACUGAGAGGUUUUCCCCCCAAACUGGUACUGGGACACGGACCAGACUCCUACGGGAGGCAGCAGUGAGGAAUAUUGGUCAAUGGGCGCAAGCCUGAAACAGCCAUGCCGCGUGCAGGAUGACGGCUCUAUGAGUUGUAAACUGCUUUUGUACGAGGGUAAAGUGGGUUACGUGUAACCUUUUGAAAGUAUCGUACGAAUAAGGAUCGGCUAACUCCGUGCCAGCCGCCGCGGUAA